AAUAAAUGCUGGCGGCGUGCCUAACACAUGCAAGUCGAGCGCGAAAGGUUCUUCGGAACCAAGUAGAGCGGCGAACGGGUGAGUAACGCGUGGGAAUCUACCUUCUAGUGAGGAAUACCCUCGAGAAAUCGAGGUUAAUACUGCAUAAGUCCCUUCGGGGAGAAAGAUGGCCUCUUGCUGUCGCUAGAAGAUGAGCUUGCGUACUAUUAGCUAGUUGGUGGGGUAAAGGCCUACCAAGGCGAAGAUGGUUAGCCGACCUGAGAGGGUGACCGGCCACACUGGAACUUAGACACGGUCCAGACUCCUACGGGAGGCAG
rnacentral:rRNA from 1 species